AACGAACGCUGGCGGCAUGCCUAACACAUGCAAGUCGAACGAAGCCUUCGGGCUUAGUGGCGCACGGGUGCGUAACGCGUGGGAAUCUGCCCUUGGGUUCGGAAUAACAGUUAGAAAUGACUGCUAAUACCGAAUGAUGUCUUCGGACCAAAGAUUUAUCGCCCAAGGAUGAGCCCGCGUCGGAUUAGCUAGUUGGUGAGGUAAAGGCUCACCAAGGCGACGAUCCGUAGCUGGUUUGAGAGGAUGAUCAGCCACACUGGGACUGAGACACGGCCCAGACUCCUACGGAGGCAGCAGUGGGGAAUAUUGGACAAUGGGCGAAAGCCUGAUCAGCAAUGCCGCGUGAGUGAU
rnacentral:rRNA from 1 species